AGAGUUUGAUCCUGGCUCAGAACGAACGCUGGCGGCGUGCCUAACACAUGCAAGUCGUACGAGAAAAUCCGCUUCGGCGGGUGAGUAAAGUGGCGCACGGGUGAGUAACGCGUGGAUAAUCUGCCUUUAAGCGGGGAAUAACUUACCGAAAGGUGGGCUAAUACCCCAUAAAGCUAUGGAGCUCCGGUUUUCAUAGCCAAAGAGAGCCUCUGCAUGCAAGCCCUCACUUAGAGAUGAGUCCGCGUACCAUUAGCUAGUUGGUGGGGUAAUGGCCUACCAAGGCGGACGAUGGUUAGCUGGUUUGAGAGGAAGAUCAGCCCACACUGGAACUGAGACACGGUCCAGACUCCUACGGGAGGCAGCAGUGAGGAAUAUUGCGCAAUGGGGGCAACCCUGACGCAGCAACGCCGCGUGAGUGAGGAAGGUUUUCGGAUCGUAAAGCUCUGUCGGGUGGGAAGAAAUGUAUGGAGGUUAACAGCCUUUGUACUUGACGGUACCGCCAAAGGAAGCACCGGCUAACUCCGUGCCAGCAGCCGCGGUAAUACGGGGGGUGCUAGCGUUGUUCGGAAUCAUUGGGCGUAAAGAGCGUGUAGGCGGCUAGGCAAGUCAGAUGUGAAAUCCCUGGGCUUAACCCAGGACGUGCAUUUGAAACUGCUUGGCUUGAGUAGGGAAGAGGGAAGUGGAAUUCCUGGUGUAGAGGUGAAAUUCGUAGAUAUCAGGAGGAACACCGGUGGCGAAGGCGACUUCCUGGUCCUAUACUGACGCUGAGACGCGAGAGCGUGGGGAGCAAACAGGAUUAGAUACCCUGGUAGUCCACGCCGUAAACGAUGUU
rnacentral:rRNA from 1 species